rnacentral:ncRNA from 1 species
AAGGACUCGUACGGUCACUGAAUCCUGCCCAGUGCAGGUAUCUGAACACCCCGUACAAGGGGACGAAGGACCUGUUAACGGCGGGGGUAACUAUGACCCUCUUAAGGUAGCGUAGUACCUUGCCGCUUUAGUAGCGGCUUGCAUGAAUGGAUCAACGAGAGCGCCACUGUCCCAACGUUGGGCCCGGUGAACUGUACGUUCCAGUGCGGAGUCUGGAGACCCCCAAGGGGAAGCGAAG